UGUUCUCUCGGAGUAAAUAGACAUAAUUGCCCUUUAAGGCCUUGAAGGUAUUUUCACCAAUUUAUUUCAUUUUUGUUAAUUUAUAUUUGAUCAACAUUUAAAUUGAAUUAUAGAGAUAAUUAGAUCAACUUUCAUCAUGAAUUAGAUUUCGAGGAUAUAGGACAUAGAAAGUGACAAAUCGGCGACGGAAUUAUUAUUAUACUACAUUCAAUCAACCAAGGUCUAAUACCAAAAUGAAAGGUUAAAUUUUGAUUUUGGGUUUCGCCGGCAGUUUCUCCUACUUUGCUUGUGACCACACACACUCAGCAAGGCUCUAACAGUGUUGAAGAUGGUGAGCAAAACAGAGGAAGAGCAACUGAUUAGACUGGAGAACCAAGUGGAAAACGGCGGCGGCGGCGCGUGGGAGUACCUCUGUCUCGUCAGGACGCUCAAGCUCCGCCGCUCCGACAAGGUCUUCAAGUACGGCUCCGCCAUUCUCAGCGACCCUAAGAAGCGAUCUGCGCUUGGCCCAGAAGUUUCAGAACUUGUUUUUGUACUUCUUGAUUGUUAGAGGCGAAAUUGGGUUGUUAUUAUCAAACAGCCGAGAAAUUCAGCGGCAAUUGGUUGACCAGAGUUGUUGCGGUGUGAUAGAUAUCAUUAUCGCCAAUUCAUAUUUGUCUAUUUCCGAAAAUUACAGUUUUUUUGCUAAAUUAAGUUGGAGAUUUUAUACUUUUC